CAGCGACCUGAACAGGGACGUGGGUCACGCUUGCCGCUGUGGUCGGCAACAGUGAUGCUGUGCACAACGCGGCCUGCCGGAUCCUGACCGGCGACGUUGCC
rnacentral:tRNA from 2 species